rnacentral:rRNA from 1 species
GACAGAACCCCCAAGCGUUAUCCGGAUUUAUUGGGCGUAAAGGGUCCGUAGGUGGUUUAGUUAGUCUGAGGUCAAAUACUCCAAGCUCAACUUGGGGGACGCUUCAGAAACGGCUAAACUUGAGGGCGUUAGGGGCAGAUGGAACGGUUGGUGUAGGGGUGAAAUCCGUUGAUAUCAACCGGAACACCGAAAGCGAAGGCAUUCUGCUGGGGCGACCCUGACACUGAUGGACGAAAGCGUGGGGA